rnacentral:lncRNA from 1 species
GUUUGUUUAUUCUUGUUUGCUUGUAACACAAUCAAUCAAUUUUUACACUUUUCACAUUGAAUUAAUUUUUAUGAAGCAAUUUUUGUUUGUUAGAGGAUCUCUGCUAAAAAGUUAUAAGAAGAAUAUCAUUAAUAAUAAUGAUAUAAUUUAUAAAAUGUAAGAGUAAUACUAUUUGAGCAGCCUCAUUGGGUUAGUGACCACAUAAUAUCUAGCUGGCUGAUAUUAUUGUAUUAUGAUGAUCAUGUUUUUAAUAACUGAGCAGUCUCAUGUGAUUAUAAUGGAUACACAAUUACUGUGUUUGAAAUUAACAGUGGAUGUUGAAUACUUUGCUGUGUAUUAUUUCAUUAAAUUAUUUAAAUUCAGAUUUAAUAUUAAAAGAUUGUUAUAGUUUUAUUUUUAACAUGCAAUCUAUCUCUAAUUUACUAUUUAUUAUACCUUACAUUAUGUUAUUCAAUAUUAUUAAAUUAAACUUUAAUAGUAUCAGUCUAGUUACUAAACCUACCUGGUGGUGUGAUAUUAAGAGAUAUCUAUUUUAUAUACCUAACUGUCGUUUAUAUAGUACUUGAAUUGCAUGAUUUCAGUUUAGCAUGAUUUAAAAAUUAAUACCAAAUUUUCAUUUUACACAGUACAAUUUCAGUUUAACAUGGUUUGAAUCUAACAUUGAC